GGAGAUGUAUUGCAUCGACGGGAAAAGCACUUUAAUAAACUGCAAGCCGGCUUUGAUCAGUGAGCCGUUAAACAGGGUCAAAACAUAAUGCCAAAAAUACUUUUGGUGUUGAUCUAACCAAAGUUGCAAACGCCUUUACCGGCGCUUUUGUACCUGCGGCUCCAGCUUUUGCAUUAGCUUAAGCUCAUCAACCAUUUUCUAGUCCCCUGUUUCGGGGGAGAUUAGGGAGUGUUAACUAAACCGAAAUGCUAUCCGAUAGAUCUCGGUUUUUAUCGGAUUUAAGAGAGGGGUAAUGCCCUCGGUAAUCGACAUUCCGACACUUUUGGGAUAUUUUAGUUGUCGGAAGUGUAGGAUAAAGUAUCUCUAAGCUUGUAGACGUUUUUAAAAUCUUUUUUCGGACCUGAGCUCAAUACUCAGCAUCUCCGCAA
rnacentral:tmRNA from 4 species